UAAUUUUUCUUUCCCUCCCUACAAAUUUCUCUCUCUAUCGUUGCUACCGGUGCCAGAAUUGCUUUCUUUCUCUAAGUGUAUGAAUUGGCUCUCACGCACACACAUCUGGCUACCUGAAGAUCCCUCUCACAUAAUUUUCUCUCUGUACGUGUCUGAACAUAAUUUCGGGUUUUCGCAGGCGGCGAUACGGAUAUCGGAAGAGCGUACCAAUCGAGUUGAUUUUGGCCUACAUAGUUCUGCAACAGUUGAGAAUCUGGGCAUCUUUUAGAGUUGAGCCUUGAUUUUGGAGUCAGAGCCACACGACAGAGUUUGUUAGUAUGACUCACUUCAUAGAAUAUGUAGUCAGUAUUUUGGGACGCAUGUUCAUGACUAGAUGUGAUUUUGCAUCACUUGUAGAUA